AGAGCUGGCUCAGUGGUUGCGGAAAUAAAAAGAGGUGAGUCGCCCUUUUUAUUUUUGAGGAAAGUCCGGGCUCCCUAAAAGCCAAACUUGCUGGGUAACGCCCAGUGCGGGUGACCGUGAGGAGAGUGCCACAGAAACAUACCGCCGAUGGAAAGUCUGACUUUCACAGGCAAGGGUGCAAGGGUGCGGUAAGAGCGCACCGGCAGCAUCGAGAGGUGCUGGCCAGGUAAACCCCGGUUGGGUGCAAGGCCAAAGGAGCGACGGUUGGCUUUUUACCAGCUCCGCAAAAGCGCGCCGCUUGAGGCGUCUGGUAACAGGCGUCCCAGAUAGAUAACCACCUUAUGCUGACAGCGUAAGCUAGAGGCAUGGGAACAGAACCCGGCUUAGGUCCAGCUCUACCU
rnacentral:RNase_P_RNA from 1 species